rnacentral:rRNA from 1 species
AUUGAACGCUGGCGGCAGGCCUAACACAUGCAAGUCGGACGGUAGCACAGAGGAGCUUGCUCCUCGGGUGACGAGUGGCGGACGGGUGAGUAAUAUCUGGGGAUCUGCCCGAUAGAGGGGGAUAACCACUGGAAACGGUGGCUAAUACCGCAUAACGUCGCAAGACCAAAGAGGGGGACCUUCGGGCCUCUCACUAUCGGAUGAACCCAGAUGGGAUUAGCUAGUAGGCGGGGUAAUGGCCCACCUAGGCGACGAUCCCUAGCUGGUCUGAGAGGAUGACAAGCCACACUGGAACUGAGACACGGUCCAGACUCCUACAGGAGGCAGCAGUGGGGAAUAUUGCACAAUGGGCGCAAGCCUGAUGCAGCCAUGCCGCGUGUAUGAAGAAGGCCUUCGGGUUGUAAAGUACUUUCAGCGGGGAGGAAGGCGGCGCGGUUAAUAACCGCGCCGAUUGACGUUACCCGCAGAAGAAGCACCGGCUAACUCCGUGCCAGCCGCCGCCGUAAGAC